UCCCACGUGGUUCAACAAUCACAGCAGCUGGGUGUGGAAAUGAAGGGAUGGCUCCUCCAUUUCCAUUGGUUUUGUCACCUCGAAUCGUUCCCGUGGAGCUUUGCUCUGUUUUUUACCUGGAUGUGGUGGGACAAUGCAUCCAAGAGCAGCUGGAAAGGAAGGAUUGGGAAGGACCUGGUGUGGGCUGAGCCUCCCAGGUUCCAGCAGUUGUGGAGAACGUCCAGUCCAACAGCACCUACAGAAUUCCUGCUCUGGGUGACACCACAGCCAAAGCCACAGCACAAUUCCCAAAUGGAAAAUCCCACAGGAAAUGGGAAAAUCAACAACAACAACACGGAAAGGAAAAUAGCAAAUACCCCAUAUCAAGGAGGAACAAACUAUUCCUUAAGGAGAAGCAAGAAGCAGGAGAGGGGGACAGAGAAAUGAUAUAAAAAGAAGCUGUUUCCAAACCUGUUUUUCCAGACUCUGGAUCUGGGAAUCUCUUUCUCCCUGAGCAGUCUGUGCCCCCGUGUCCCAGCUGUGUUACCAUCAUUAGGCCCAGCCACCUGCAUGGUGUCCACAUCCCUGAUGGAUCCGGGGGAUUUGUAGGAAACCUUUGCUCCCUCCUCUCUGCCCUGCCCCACAUCGAGGGGCCGACUCAGCUUUCCCAGUUUCUUUGUUACAAAAUGUUGUCAUAAUAUUUAAUCUCCAGCCUUGGCCUCGGCACAGCUGUUUGAAAGGACAAUUUGUAUUCCCCAAAGUGCUUUGAAAACCCUCGGGAAGCUCCCAGGAAGCUUUUUCCUGGUGCACAGAAGCAGCUUGUCCAGGCUUCCAGCUUUGUUCUGUGUCUGGCUGGAUCCUCUGGAUUCCUCCAGCUGCCCUCUCGUUUACUUUGUGGUUUGCUGGAAUAUUUGUUCCCUGUUUUUUACGCCGUGUGGGAGUCACGCGGGCCCAGAACGGAUGAAACAGAGAACAGAUUCCAUGGAAAGCAUUCCAAGAUGGGAGCUGAGGAACUGCUGUGAUGUUCCUGUGAGGAGACACAGAGGAGGGCAAGAUCACACAAGUGGACUGGGAAGUGUUUUCAUCAUCCAUCCUGGGAGCUCCAAGUGCACAAUUCCCUCUGUUGCUGCAAGCCCAGCCUCGUCUUUAAUCACAAAUUGAGAAAAAGCUUUUCUAAAGUUUCUUCCUGUGUCGUGGAAUGCCAUAGGAAAUCCAACCAAGGACACCUGUUCUGGCUGUCCCCAAGCCACAUCCUCCUGCUCUGACACCUCCUCCAGCUCCCAGGACUAGUAAACUGAUUUAUAAAAACAUUUUAUGAUGUCCUGUAGCAUUAAACCCUGAGGUGAUUCUCUUAUAAUCCUAUAAUUCACAGAUACUUCAUAUGAUAAAUCUUAUUUCCUGUUUCCUGAGUCAUCCUCCAUCCUCCCUGAUCCCAUCUCCAGCCAGUGAGCAACUCCCAGAGAAUGCA